rnacentral:rRNA from 1 species
AAUGGGCGCAAGCCUGAUCCAGCCAUGCCGCGUGAGUGAUGAAGGCCCUAGGGUCGUAAAGCUCUUUCGCCUGUGAAGAUAAUGACGGUAGCAGGUAAAGAAACCCCGGCUAACUCCGUGCCAGCAGCCGCGGUAAUACGGAGGGGGUUAGCGUUGUUCGGAAUUACUGGGCGUAAAGCGCGCGUAGGCGGAUUAGUCAGUCAGAGGUGAAAUCCCAGGGCUCAACCCUGGAACUGCCUUUGAUACUGCUAGUCUUGAGUUCGAGAGAGGUAAGUGGAAUUCCGAGUGUAGAGGUGAAAUUCGUAGAUAUUCGGAGGAACGCCAGUGGCGAAGGCGGCUUACUGGCUCGAUACUGACGCUGAGGUGCGAAAGUGUGGGGAGCAAACAGGAUU